rnacentral:rRNA from 1 species
AGUGAACGCUGGCGGUAUGCCUAACACAUGCAAGUCGAACGGCAGCACAGUAAGAGCUUGCUCUUACGGGUGGCGAGUGGCGGACGGGUGAGGAAUACAUCGGAAUCUACUUUUUCGUGGGGGAUAACGUAGGGAAACUUACGCUAAUACCGCAUACGACCUACGGGUGAAAGCAGGGGAUCUUCGCACCUUGCGCGAUUGAAUGAGCCGAUGUCGGAGUAGCUAGUUGGCGGGGUAAAGGCCCACCAAGGCGACGAUCCGUAGCUGGUCUGAGAGGAUGAUCAGCCACACUGGAACUGAGACACGGUCCAGACUCCUACGGGAGGCAGCAGUGGGGAAUAUUGGACAAUGGGCGAAAGCCUGAUCCAGCCAUACCGCGUGGGUGAAGAAGGCCUUCGGGUUGUAAAGCCCUUUUGUUGGGAAAGAAAAGCAGCAGGUUAAUACCCCGCUGUUCUGACGGUACCCAAAGAAUAAGCACCGGCUAACUUCGUG